ensembl:lncRNA
CUCAAGGAGACACGGAGGAGGGGGAAAUGCAUUCUGCUCUCGGAGACGGAAACGUUUGACUACGACUGAGGAGAAAAGGCUGAAAUCAGUCCGACCUUAUGUUUCACUGUGUCUCGGUCGGCCGGCUGUACUUAUUAAUGCGUCCUUGUUUUCAGCGGGCAGCAAACGUUCGCCCUCCGGAGGGGCGUCUGAACACCCGUGUGUAAAGUUACGAGGUGGAGGAGAGCAGCACAGAGAGACUGAGAGACCGUGUGAGGAGCAGACCUGAGUAAGAGCGAGUGUGUGUGUGUGUGUGUGUGUGUGUGUGUGUGAGUGAGUGAGUGAUAGUCAGGAGAGAGAGAGAGUCCUUGUGUCUUGUAUAGCGUGCACGCGCAUCAAUGACAGAAGGGUCAAAGCUGCUAGCCUAGCACACCGGCCGGUCCUCCGCUACCCGCCACAAAGUGCCCCCGCUCCCCUGACGCAGAGACCCCGCCGCUCUCCGGGAAACGCUCCGCCGUUUUCUGAAGGGCAAAGCCGGGCACACUUCCCCGACAGCACGGGAGAAAAAGAGGGAGAGGGAAAAACAGACACAACCCGUCCUUACUCACCGUCUCAGGAUCCGGAUACCCUGUUCUCCCCGCGGCACUUCACCCACUCUACAUCCAUUCCGCUGCUGUCCAUUUCCACGAGUUUUUCUCCUCCUUUUUUUGUUCUUUUCCCUCCCCCGGUGCGUCUGUCUUAAAUAUUGCAGUAAAAGAAUGGAGAAGCGAGCUCUCUGGGGGAACAGCAAACUCCUGAGGAUUCUUAUCUGGUCCUAUUGUAUUCCUCCCUCAUCCAGUCAUUUUGUCCUCUGCUGGACAUCUGGGUGUCAGAGUGCUGCAGAGAAUGCGUGGCACCCCGCUCAGCACACUCCUGCCUUAUCUGGAGACUAAACUGGCACAGCAGUUUUUACAGUGCAGAAUUGAUUUCCUGGCAAUGCAGCAUCACCUG